UGCGUAGGCUGACUUUUAAGUCAGGCGUGAAAUCCAAUGGCUUAACCAUUGAACUGCGCUUGAAACUGGGAGUCUAGAGUUCAGAAGGGGCAGAUGGAAUUAGUGGUGUAGGGGUAAAAUCCGUAGAUAUCACUAGGAAUAUCAAAAGCGAAGGCGAUCUGCUGGGAUGAUACUGACGCUGAGGCACGAAAGCGUGGGGAGCAAACA
rnacentral:rRNA from 1 species